CUCUUUGUUUUUGAGGAUGUGUUGGCAUUGAUACCAUCUUGAUGGCCUCCUUUAAAAUCUGGUAUCCCCACUCGGCCCCCCUGAGCUGUCCAACUUGGCAGUGGUGCAAAUAAGGACCUGCCUGCUUGUCUGGGAAGAGGGAAGAAAGGAGCCAUUGAGGGAGAAGCCUGAAGCACAGGGAUGGGAUGGGGCAUUGGCCUCCUAAGAGGUUCCGUGGCGGAGUUCAGGCCUUCCUGUCAGCCCCACAGGCUGGAUGAGCACAGCUGAGAGGCACUGCUGGAAAAGAGGCUGCGUUGUCUCUCCACCUUCAAGGAUGCUGCAGGCUCUUGGUUGAAUUCAUGAGCUGGUGUUAUGCCUGGAUGCAGGACUAGAUUGUACUGCCUUACAAGGUCCCUGAGUUUUAGCUAUAGCUUUGAAGCCAG
rnacentral:lncRNA from 1 species